rnacentral:rRNA from 1 species
GAUGAACGCUAGCGGCAGGCCUAAUACAUGCAAGUCGAACGAUACUUUCCAGCUUGCUGGAAAGGAAAGUGGCGCACGGGUGCGUAACGCGUAUGCAACCUACCUUAAUCAGGGGGAUAGCCCGAAGAAAUUCGGAUUAACACCGCAUAAAAUCACAGUACAGCAUUGUACAAUGAUCAAAUAUUUAUAGGAUUAAGAUGGGCAUGCGUGACAUUAGCUAGUUGGCGGGGUAACGGCCCACCAAGGCGACGAUGUCUAGGGGAUCUGAGAGGAUGACCCCCCACACUGGUACUGAGACACGGACCAGACUCCUACGGGAGGCAGCAGUAAGGAAUAUUGGUCAAUGGAGGCAACUCUGAACCAGCCAUGCCGCGUGCAGGAAGACAGCCCUCUGGGUCGUAAACUGCUUCUAUUCGGGAAUAAACCUACUUACGUGUAAGUAGCUGAAUGUACCGAAGGAAUAAGGAUCGGCUAACUCCGUGCCAGCAGCCGCCGUAA